rnacentral:rRNA from 1 species
AGGAUGAACGCUGGCGGUAUGCCUAACACAUGCAAGUCGAACGGGUGUCUUCGGACAUUAGUGGCGGACGGGUGAGUAACGCGUGAGAAUCUGCCUUCAGGAUGGGGACAACAGUUGGAAACGACUGCUAAUACCCGAUAUGACGAAAGUUGAAAGAUUUAUCGCCUGGAGAUGAGCUCGCGUCAGAUUAGCUAGUUGGUGUGGUAAUGGCGCACCAAGGCGACGACGGGUAG